rnacentral:rRNA from 1 species
CAAUAGCAUAUAUUAACGUUGUUGCAGUUGAAAAGCUCGUAGUUGAACUUUUGGUAGGAGCGACCUGGUCUUGGUCUGUAUGGACCUUGUUUUUACCGAGUGUCGUAUCUGGCCAUCCUUCUUUGUUCUUUUAGGGCAAGGAUCAUUUACUGUGAGUAAACUGGAGUGCUCAAAACAAGACGUAUUGUUUGGUACAUUUUAGCAUGGAAUAAUAAGAUAGGACCUAGUUACUAUUUUGUUGGUUUGCAUAGCUGGGUAAUGAUGAAUAGGAACAGUCGGAGGUAUUCGUAUUUAAUUGUCAGAGGUGAAAUUCUUGGAUUUCUGAAAGACGAACCACUGCGAAAGCAUUUACCAAGGAUGUUUUCAUUAA